rnacentral:rRNA from 1 species
AAUACGUUCCCGGGCCUUGUACACACCGCCCGUCAAACCAUGCGAGUGGGGUCGUCGUGAAGGCACGUUUCUUGGCGUGUUUGAACUUCGAUUCUGCAAGCGGGGUU